rnacentral:rRNA from 1 species
CCUACGGGAGGCAGCAGUGGGGAAUAUUGGACAAUGGGCGAAGGCCUGAUCCAGCAAUUCCGCGUGUGUGAAGAAGGCCUUCGGGUUGUAAAGCACUUUAGUUGGGGAAGAAACAGCUUGGCCACACCAAGCCUUGACGGUACCCAAAGAAUAAGCACCGGCUAACUCUGUGCCAGCAGCCGCGGUAAUACAGAGGGUGCAAGCGUUAAUCGGAUUUACUGGGCGUAAAGGGUGCGUAGGUGGUUUUGUAAGUCGGAUGUGAAAGCCUGGGGCUCAACCUCAGAAUUGCACUCGAUACUGCAAGACUAGAGUUCGGUAGAGGGCGGCGGAAUUCCCGGUGUAGCGGUGAAAUGCGUAGAUAUCGGGAGGAACAUCAAUGGCGAAGGCAGCCGCCUGGGCCUGAACUGACACUGAGGCACGAAAGCGUGGGUAGCAAACAGGAUUAGAUACCCUGGUAGUCCACGCUGUAAACGAUGAGAACUUGACGUUGGUUCGUUUUACGAAUCGGUGUCGCAGCUAACGCGAUAAGUUCUCCGCCUGGGGAGUACGGCCGCAAGGUUGAAACUCAAAGGAUUGACGG